UACGGAGGGUGCAAGCGUUGUCCGGAAUCACUGGGCGUAAAGGGCGCGUAGGCGGCUCAUGAAGGCUGUGGUGAAAGUCCGGGGCUCAACCUCGGAUCGGCCGUGGCGACUCGUGGGCUGGAGCACUGUAGAGGCGGGUGGAAUUCCGGGUGUAGCGGUGGAAUGCGUAGAGAUCCGGAAGAACACCAGUGGCGAAGGCGGCCCGCUGGGCAGUGGCUGACGCUGAGGAGCGAAAGCGUGGGGAGCGAACGG
rnacentral:rRNA from 1 species